UAGUGGCAGACGGGUGAGUAACGCGUGGGAACGUACCUUUCACUACGGAAUAGCUCUUGGAAACGAGUGGUAAUACCGUAUACGCCCUUCGGGGGAAAGAUUUAUCGGUGAAAGAUCGGCCCGCGUUAGAUUAGCUAGUUGGUAGGGUAAUGGCCUACCAAGGCGACGAUCUAUAGCUGGUCUGAGAGGAUGAUCAGCCACACUGGGACUGAGACACGGCCCAGACUCCUACGGGAGGCAGCAGUGGGGAAUCUUGCACAAUGGGCGAAAGCCUGAUGCAGCCAUGCCGCGUGAAUGAUGAAGGCCUUAGGGUUGUAAAAUUCUUUCGCUAGGGAUGAUAAUGACAGUACCUAGUAAAGAAGCCCCGGCUAACUUCGUGCCAGCAGCCGCGGUAAUACGAAGGGGGCUAGCGUUGUUCGGAAUUACUGGGCGUAAAGCGCACGUAGGCGGACUUUUAAGU
rnacentral:rRNA from 1 species